rnacentral:rRNA from 1 species
UACGGAGGAUCCGAGCGUUAUCCGGAUUUAUUGGGUUUAAAGGGUGCGUAGGCGGCCUAUUAAGUCAGGGGUGAAAGACGGUAGCUUAACUAUCGCAGUGCCUUUGAUACUGAUAGGCUUGAAUGUACUUGAGGUAGGCGGAAUGUGACAAGUAGCGGUGAAAUGCAUAGAUAUGUCACAGAACACCAAAUGCGAAGGCAGCUUACUAUGGUUUUAUUGACACUGAGGCACGAAAGCGGGGGGAUCAAACAGG